CUACGGGACGCUGCAGUGGGGAAUAUUGCACAAUGGGCGCAAGCCUGAUGCAGCCAUGCCGCGUGUAUGAAGAAGGCCUUCGGGUUGUAAAGUACUUUCAGCGGGGAGGAAGGGAGUAAAGUUAAUACCUUUGCUCAUUGACGUUACCCGCAGAAGAAGCACCGGCUAACUCCGUGCCAGCAGCCGCGGUAAUACGGAGGGUGCAAGCGUUAAUCGGAAUUACUGGGCGUAAAGCGCACGCAGGCGGUUUGUUAAGUCAGAUGUGAGAUCCCCGGGCUCAACCUGGGAACUGCAUCUGAUACUGGCAAGCUUGAGUCUCGUAGAGGGGGGUAGAAUUCCAGGUGUAGCGGUGAAAUGCGUAGAGAUCUGGAGGAAUACCGGUGGCGAAGGCGGCCCCCUGGACGAAGACUGACGCUCAGGUGCGAAAGCGUGGGGAGCAAACAGGAUUAGAUACCCUAGUAGUC
rnacentral:rRNA from 1 species